rnacentral:rRNA from 1 species
CAAUAGCGUAUAUUAAAAUUGUUGCGGUUGAAAAGCUCGUAGUUGGAUUUCUGCUGAGUACGGCCGGUCCGCCCUCCGGGUGAGCAUCUGGUUCGGCCUUGGCAUCUUCUUGGUGCACGUGUCUGCACUUGACUGUGUGGUGAGGUACCCAGGACUUUUACUUUGAGGAAAUUGCAAUGUUUCAAGCAAGCAUACACCUUGAAUACAUUAGCAUGGAAUAAUAAGAUAGGACCUCGGUUCUAUUUUGUUGGUUUCUAGAGCUGGGGUGGUGAUUAAUAAGGGUAGUUGGGGGCAUUCGUAUUAAACUGUCAGAGGUGGAAUUCUUGGAUUUGUUAAAGACGGACUACUGCGACAGCAUUUGCCAAGGAUGUUUUCAUUCAUCAAGAACGAAAGUUAAGGGAUCGAAGACGAUUAGAU